UUUUCCUUCUUCAUCUUGAAUGCAUUCUGGCUGGUGGCAACCUUCAUCUUCCAGAUCUUCAAUAGCACCUUUGCCAUCUGCAUCCCAAAGUUAAACCUUCAUUUACAGGAAACAGGAGAUGUUAUCCAAAUUGAACCAAUUGCCUUUAUGUUCAUUUUGGGAUUUGCUGUUACGGUUGUUAUCCAGUUCCUUGCAAUGCUAUACCACAGAAUCCAAACCCUCAUCGAUUAUGUAGCUUUUGUGGACACGGAACCCAAAGAGAGGAAGAAAACUGGAAGCCAGAAGUCAUACCUGCAAGGGAAAAGGAAUGAGUUCAGACUCAAGCUAUCGCUCCAUGGAGGACCUUGAGACCAACGACAGAGAUAUUGAGUCACAAGAGGACCUCAUGAACCGGCGUGACUGUUCAGCACUUUAAAAUAUCUGCUGUGUGAGAUUUUACCAAAAAUGUCAAUACACUGUUCCAAAAAAUAGUAAUGUCAAAGUAUCUUCCUGUAUAUUUUACAGUUUUGUCACUGUAAAUAUAGUAAAUCACAAUUUACUUGUUUUUUAAAUAUAUGUUUUUGUACAUAUGCAUAUGUACAAAAUUGUAAAACUACAUUCAGAAAUGUAUCAUAAUUUCACAAAUAUUUGUCUGUUAUGUGAGAGAAUGAU